UAUUAACACACUUUAUCCAUCAGUCAACUCAGGAGCAGAAACCUAAAGAUGCAGCAAAGAGAGAAUGAUCUGAACGGCAAGGUCUUCCACGGGGUCUAGGAGCUGGUCGGUCGUGGUGGUCUCUGUGAAACUCAGUGGUAAGAUCCAGGAUGUCCUGAGAAUUUACCCAGGAUUGUUCCUCCGGACCAUACCCCUCCCAGUCAAUAAGAUACUGGAGAACCCUGCCUCGGCGUCAGGAGUUUAGGAUUCCUCUCACCUGAAAGGCUUCCUCGCCAUUGAUGAUCAUGGAAGGGGUGCGUUCCUCGGCGGCCUCCUCCUGGUCCCUCUCUCCUCCGGGACCACCGGCGGGCUUGAGCAGGGAGAUAGGAAAGGACCCACAUACCUCGGAUUGAGCUUCUUGC
ensembl:lncRNA